CACGGUGUCGUCGGAGAGGUUCCUGAAGAUCCAGAGGGAGGCACCGCCGGAGUACCAGCAGUACCUCGUGCAGGUGACCAAGUACCAGGCCGCACAGAACUGCAAGGUCAUGGUGAUUUCACGUCCGUUAGGCUCGAGAGGUGGACUCAAACAUCCAAGUUUUGCAAGUUUUGAUGUUGGAUGUUAAAUUUCUAUGCUCACCCCUCGUUUGGUUAUUGAUGUACUAUUUCCAUCUCAUGUCACAAAUUUGGCAUAAGGAAUGGGUAUUGGUGGCUACUGACUGUGUUUGUUUCCACGUAUUAUACAUGUACAAUGGAACAGUUGAUAAUAGUUUUGCAUGAACUAUUGGCGUUGGCUAUCUAAAAGGACAGAAAGGCAGACAUGAGCAACAGAUCCCGCUCCAUGGGCUGAAACUGGGAUUCGUGAUGGCAGGUGCCCCUCUUAGUCGUGUGUAGGGCGAGCUGCUGCCAUGGUGGCUUUUUCUUGCGGGCGUGAGCUCCGCUCGCCGCCGGUCUUGGACGCCGUGGCUAGGCUCCUACCACCCCUCCCUCCACCCGGGACUCCACGCUGCCACCGCCACACGAAAGUACGCAUACACUCUUCUUCCUCCCCUCGCU